UGAGGAAUAUUGGACAAUGGGCGCAAGCCUGAUCCAGCCAUGCCGCGUGCAGGAAGAAGCAUCUAUGGUGUGUAAACUGCUUUUGUACGGGAAGAACCACUCCUACGUGUAGGAGCUUGACGGUACCGUAAGAAUAAGGAUCGGCUAACUCCGUGCCAGCAGCCGCGGUAAUACGGAGGAUCCAAGCGUUAUCCGGAAUCAUUGGGUUUAAAGGGUCCGUAGGCGGUUUAGUAAGUCAGUGGUGAAAGCCCAUCGCUCAACGAUGGAACGGCCAUUGAUACUGCUAGACUUGAAUUACAAGGAAGUAACUAGAAUAUGUAGUGUAGCGGUGAAAUGCUUAGAUAUUACAUGGAAUACCAAUUGCGAAGGCAGGUUACUACUUGUGGAUUGACGCUGAUGGACGAAAGCGUGGGGAGCGAACA
rnacentral:rRNA from 1 species